CGUAUGGUGUUCAGCUUCGGGCUGGAUGGCGAUACGGCCUUUUUUAUGAGGU
rnacentral:ncRNA from 1 species